rnacentral:rRNA from 1 species
CCAAUAGCGUAUAUUAAAGUUGUUGCAGUUAAAAAGCUCGUAGUUGAAUUUCGAGAUCAAUUUGUGGGUCGUGCCUCGGUACGUACUGGCAUUAUUGAUUUCUCCCUUCUGACGAACCGCGAUGUCAUUAAUUUGGUGUCGUGGGGAAUCAGGACUGUUACUUUGAAAAAAUUAGAGUGUUUAAAGCAGGCUUACGCUUGAAUACAUUAGCAUGGAAUAAUGAAAUAGGACGUUUGAUUCUAUUUUGUUGGUUUCUAGGAUCGACGUAAUGAUUAAUAGGGAUAGUUGGGGGCAUUAGUAUUCAAUUGUCAGAGGUGAAAUUCUUGGAUUUAUUGAAGACUAACUACUGCGAAAGCAUUUGCCAAGGAUGUUUUCAUUAAUCAAGAACGAAAGUUAGGGGAUCGAAGACGAUCAGAUACCGUCGUAGUCUUAACCAUAAACUAUGCCGACUAGGGAUCGGAUGAUGUUAAUUUUUUAAUGACUCAUUCGGCGCCUUACG